rnacentral:lncRNA from 1 species
AACUGUGGCGACCCCAAAUCCGGAUACUUGAAACCCGAACUCGGUUCUCCACGAUACCAUUUCUUUAAGCUGAAUAAUACUAAAUAAUUAUACAUUCGAACUUAAUUUACAUACAUCAAAGUUUACUUCCCCAGGUACGUGACCUUCAAAUACAUUCCUUACAAUAUCUGACAAUAGAUUCCAUUGUCUUACUAACUAUAACCAUUAACUCAUACUAAAUCUCAUUCGAAUAGCUUUUCUUUUCCCUUGUUCGUGCCUGAGCCUUCAGGUCGAUCGUACGUAACUGAAAACAUUUA